GCCCAUAGAGCCUUUGACUGCCACAGAAAGCCAGGGGUCUCUGCCACAGAAAGCCAGUGUCUGGGCCUGAGUGUAGCUCUAGGUGACAUCUGUCACUGCUCAGGCUAAAAGGAUUGAGGGUGUUUCAGAUGUCGGCUGGGGGAUCUUUUGAGAAUCUGGUGGAGACACACACACACACACAUACACACACACGUGCACACACACACACGUGCACACACACACACACCAUACACACACACACGUGCACAUGCACACAUACACACACACAUCAUACACACACACAUCAUACACACACACGUGCACAUGCGCACAUACACACACAUGCGCACACACACCAUACACACACGUGCACAUGCACACAUACACACACACAUGCACACACACACACAUACACACACACCAUACACACACACACGUGCACACACACACACCAUACACACACACACGUGCACAUGCACACAUACACACACACAUCAUACACACACACGUGCACAUGCGCACAUAAACACACAUGCACACACACACACGUGCACACACACCAUACACACACAUGCACAUGCACACAUACACACACACAUGCACACACACACCACACACACACACACACACACACACACACACACAGCCAUAUACACAUGAGUGCUUCCAUAGAAUGACCACCAUCUGUGGGGACAAAAAAAAAAAGAGAACACGGUGAAAUAUAAAACAAGUAAGGUGAGGAACAGAGAGAGUUCAUUAGCACCAAGUCCUAAGAAUAAAGCGAAGGAGCCGGCAGACCCUUCAAAGGCCUGAAAAGAGGAAACACAGCCCCUCGGGAACCAAGGUCAUAGCCUGAUUUCCGGGAGCUCAGCCCUGGUUUCCUCUCUCAUUGCUGUGAUAAAACGCUAUGACCAAACCACACACGGGAGAGUGGGUUGAUUAUACACUUCCAGGUUGAAAACUCUCACUGGGGAAAAUGAAGGCAGGAAUUUAAGGCAGGAACGUGUAGGCAGGAACCACUGAGCAACACUGUCAAUGACUAGUUCACUGGCCCACUCACGGGCUCAGAUUUAGCUAACUUUAUUUUUGUACACUUCCAGACUACCCGCCAAUGGAUAGUCCUACCAACAGUAGACUGGGUGCUCCAACAUCAAUUAUCAGUAAAGAUAGUGUCCCCAUAGAGAUACCCACAGGCCAUUCUGAUCUAAGCAAUUCUUGAGCUGAGACUUUCGCCUCAGACGACCCUAAGUUGUGCCAAUUUGACAAUGAAGUGUUCCGUCAUGAGAGAGCUGGCAUCAAGUACUUAACCAAGAGGGCUGUCAGCAUGAAGAGACAGGGCUCUUGGGGUCAAUGGGCCUGUUGAGGGCUUCCCCUAGUGACCAGCUUGAGUGCCCUAUCCACUGAGGAAGGAGCAAAGGCUGUGCAGGUCCAGGCACACCUCUUAUCAGUGACCUAUGGGUCCAGAGUUAUAUGGGGAACACUGUCCUAUGAAACUCGCUUGGUCACAGUGUCAACCCUGUCCUAAGGGGUAAACAGAACCUAAGUAAACCUUCCAGCUACACUCACUCAUGGACUUAGAAACCACUGACCAUGGCCCGCCUCGUUUGCUCCCCACUGACCUGGCAGCGCCCCAUUGCUGCUGUUGUGAGACCAGUUGCCUGGGUUACUGUUCAGGGACACAUCUUCUGGCCAACCUUGGCUCUUUACUUGGCUACAGAUGUCUGAUGAAUGGCUAGAGCGGGUGGAAAGGCUGACAUCCUGCCCAGGUGGCUGGAACAAGUGGGAACACUGGUAACCCAUGUCAUUGGUCCCUUGAGUCGGUCUCUGCUAGUCUCUGAGUGGGACAUGCUGCUCGCCAAGAAACACCUCAUCCGAGACUGUAGUUCGAAGGAGCUUGCUCCAGACCUGCUUUGUCUUUCUUACCAUUCAAGGCUAAAGACAUCUUCCAGUCUCGAUGAUCAGAAACCUCAGAAAUCCCGGACUGGAGAGAGGGAAAGGGGGCAAUUGAAUUCCUGGGAGACUUCUACCAACUCCACCCACAAAACAAGGAGAGUCUCUCUACUGAAAGUUGCCUUGAGUUUCAGAAGGGACUUUGGAAGACUUGAACGUCUAUAUAAUGCACGAGCUAAUGAAGUCUACAGGACUUGUG